CGUCAAUCUUCAUUUAUUUCCAAAAAAUCAAUGAAAUAAAAGGAAAUAAUGGCUAAAAAUCUUCGAAUUAAAUGAUUAUCCCUAUUUCUAUCAGUCAUAGUAUCUGUGGUAAUCAUUUCACAACUAUUAGUAAUUGUAAACAAUGUUCUCAAAACAUAAUUCAAACCACUUGUCUGGGAUAGAGAAGAAAUAACAAAUUUAAUUGUUUACGGCAACAUUGGUACAACCUACUCUGAGCACGACUAGUAAAUCGCAUCUAAGAGAAAAUUUUGUUUCUCCAACGAUGAGUUAGAAGAAAAUGUACAGACGAAUAAAGGAUUUGGAGUCCAUACAGUUGAUGAUUUUAAUUCAUCCAGAAAAGCCUUAGAUACCCAAUAAUGUCUAAUUCACACACUGCACUUAUCUCAUACAAUGGAUUAUACCUAUUAUGGUUAUCAAAACUGAAUUAUUUUUCAUAAAAUUGUGUUUCUCGAACGAUGAUUAACCUACAAACAAAGGAUUUGGAGACUUUACAAUUUAUGAUUUCAAUUCACCCAGAAAACCCAGAAGAAAGCCUUAGAUACUCAAUCAUGUUUAAUUCACACACACUUAUGUAAUUAUAAUUAUCACCUCUACAUAUUUAAAUUGCAAAUAAACACAUAAUUAGUUAGGACUUCAGCAUCUUUUCUAAAGGGAAAGUGAUUCUAGUUGGAUGACAGGUAAAAAUUGAAAAUUCUCAGGUGUUUUCAAAUACAUUGGAAAAAACAAAUAUAUAAUUAAGAAAAAUGGUUAUUUUUACACAA
rnacentral:lncRNA from 1 species